rnacentral:rRNA from 1 species
AAGUGGAGCAAUCCAUGAGUAAAGUGGCGACCGGGUGAGUAACACGUGACUAACCUACCCUCGAGUGGGGAAUAACCUAGGGAAACCUGGGCUAAUACCGCAUAACGUCCUCGGACCAAAUGCGCAAGCAGCUUGAGGAGGGGGUCGCGGCCGAUUAGCUAGUUGGCGGGGUAACGGCCCACCAAGGCAAUGAUCGGUAGCCGGCCUGAGAGGGCGCACGGCCACACUGGAACUGAAACACGGUCCAGACUCCUACGGGAGGCAGCAGUGGGGAAUUUUGCACAAUGGGGGAAACCCUGAUGCAGCAACGCCGCGUGGAGGAUGAAGUCCCUUGGG